GCGGACGUUUCUUCAGCCUCCCAGCGGCCGAGCGGCCCGCUGGGUUGCUGUACUGAGGACGUUCAGACUUCCUCGGACCUGGGUGUUGGAGCAGAAAUAGUGGUCUUCCUCGCGCCCAGUGCUCGUGCUGCGGCUCGUGCGCCGCUAGCCUCCCGGCGCGGGAUGCUGGCAUGAGAAAGAGCCGAGCUGUGGGACCCACCCGGCGUGCAGUCGGUGAAGAAGGCCUCUGCGCUGCGAGGCGGGUGGAGGCGUCGGAGUUCACUGUUUAGACGGGCUUUGUCUCCUCACGUUUCAGUCAGACUCCGCAGAGUUCUCAGCAUACCCCCUCAGAGGAGCGCAAAGUUAGUGAACUCCGGGCUGGUUUUCCUGUCAGCCGGGUAAGGGGAAGCAGCGUCCCACCCUCAGGUGCAGACGGGAACUUAGCAAAGGGCUAUCUGAUGAAAGGCGAUUCCGGGCACCAAGAGGAACCGGUUCCACUUUUCCUAGUCCGGAGAAGCCGGAGGAAAGGGGAUGCGGGGAGGGGGUGCGGGCGGCCGGCGUCAGCCGCUUCCUCAGAGAGCCUGGCAGUUUCGCGCGGGAUCUGCGGCGAGACCGUGGGGCACGCCCUGGAGCGAGGCACCCUCAGCCUAGCUGGGACCAGGGAGAAACCCUAAGUUUACUUGACGUGUCAAGCUCCUGCUUCAUAGAAGAAGAAGCCUCCUGGGUGAACAGAGCGGCAGAGCCCUGGCUGAACCUCAGCUAGCUGGCCCGCCGCCAGGCAACUUUUCCUUCACCAAGUUUGCAGCCUGGAGGAGAGCCUACAGCCUAAGUGAAGAGAGAGAAGCCAUAUUGCUUUCAUGACUGGACAAGCAUGAAAAUAAAAGCUUCCCUGUGACAAUGAUGGAGCAAAAUGAUAGAAGGGCCCCAGACUCCCUUCAGACUUCUUUUUAUAACUAGAACAACAACGACAAAAUAAUUUAAUUUGUAUGGAAACUCCAAAGCCUUGAAGAGCCAAAGCAGUUUUGAGAAAGAAAAGCAGAGCCAGAGGAAUGAGGCUCCCCGACUUCAGACUUUACUACAAAGCUACAGUGCUCCAAACAGUAUGAUAAUGGCACAAAAACAGAAAUAUAGAUCAGUGGAACAGCAUAGAAAGCCUAGAAAUAAACCCAUGGGUCUACGGCCAAUCAAUCUACAAAAAAGGAGGCAAGAAUAUACAAUGGAAAUAAAGGCAAACUCUUCCUUCAGUAAGUAGUGCUGUGGAAACUGGACAGCUCCAUGUACAAAAAUGAAAUUAGGACUCUCUAAUGCCAUACACAGAAAUUAACUCAAAAUGGAUUAAAGACCUGAAUUUCAAAUCAGAUGCUAUAAAACUCUUAGAGGAAAAACAUAGGCAGAAACAGUCUUUGACACAGAUUGCAGCAAUUAUCUUGUUUGAUCUACCUCCUAGAGUAAUGAAAAUAAAAAUAAAAAUAAAUAGACCUAAUUAAGCUUAAAAGCUUUUGCACAGCAAAGGAAACCAUAAACAAAAUGAAAAGACAACCUAUAGAAUGGGAGAGAAUCUUUGCAAAUGAAGCAACUGACAUGGGAUUAAUCUCCAAAAAUGAACACCUCAUGUAGCUCAAUAUAAAAAAAAAAAUCAAAAGAUGGGUAGAAUAUCUAAGUAGAUGAUUCUCCAAAGAAGACAUAGAGAAGACAUGAAGACAAGAAGAAAUGGAAAGAUGCUCAACAUCACUAAUCAUUAGAGAAAUGCAAAUCAAAACUAUGCGGUACCACCUUACACCAGUCAGAAUGGCCUUCAUCAAAAAAAUCUAUAAAGGGAUGAGAAUGUAAGCUUGCAAAACCACCAUGGAGAACAGUAUGGAAGUUCCUCAAAAAACUAAAUAUAGAGCUACCAUAUGACUCAGCAAUCCCACUCCUGGGCAUAUAUCCAGAGAAAAUCAUAAUUCAAAAAGAUACAUGCAGCCCAGUGUUCACUGCAGCAGUCUUUACAAGAGCCAAGACCUGGAAGCAACCUAAAUUCCAUAGACAGAGGACUGGAUAAAGAAGAUGUGGUACACAGUACAACGGAAUAUUUUUCAGCCGUAAAAAAAGGAGACAUGCCAUUUGCAACAACAUGGAUGGACAUAGAGAUUAUCAUACUUAAGUAAGUCAGACAAAGACAAAUAUGCUAUCACUUAUAUGUGAAAUUAAUGAAAAUGAUACAGAGCUUAUAAAACAGAAACUCAUAGAUUUCAAAUCAAACUUAACGGUUACCAAAGGGGAAUAAUGGUGCAUGCAUAAAAUAGACAGGUAAUAAGGACCUACUGUAUAGUACAGGAUAACUCAGUACUGUGUGAUAACCUAUAUGGGAAAAGAAUCUGAAAAGGAAUGGAUAUAUGUAUAUAUGCUUUACUUUGCUGUACACCUGAAACUAACACAACUUUGUAAGUCAACUAUACUCCAAUAAAUAUGUAUAUAUAUUUUAAAAAAUGGUCACUUUUAAAUAUCACAUAAACAAUCCCUGAAAUAAUCUCUCUCCACCUCCCAUUGACAGAAGAUAAGAAGUUUCUGAGUCAAAACUAUGAAAGAAAAGUUUGCUGUGCAAAAUCUCUGAUAAGUUUCCAGGAUUUGGAGAAAGAGUAUGCCUUCUUUGAAAACUAGUCUCAAUUUUAAUAAAUAUUUCUGCCACGAUAAUGAAUCCUACUGGAAACUGAUAUCCUGACCAUGGGUUUCUCGGUGAUUAUGUCACUGAGAUUUCGUUUCCUGAUCUGGAUAUUAUCAGAGCUAUCCUAUAAGGCUGGGCAAGUGCAAAAACAGCAAAUGGCUUUCAGCCUGAGCACAUCUAGAUCAUACUAGAAAAUUACACAGAAGGUUCAGACUUCCAUGUCACUUACCUCUGCUAUCCUCAAAAACAAGUACUAAUAGUUGUUUUAUAUGUUUUGUUAAAUUUAUAAGAUAUCAGCAUUAUAACCUUAUUUCUUUUUGUAGUCAACAUUGUAUAUUUUAAACAAUAGAACUGAUUGGUUUGUUUAAUUGUACUGCUAUACAUUGUUCUAUUACAACACAUUGUGAUUUAUUCUCUAUUUCAUUAGCAUCCAAGAGCUCAGUUACUAUAGUCAACAUCCUUAAUAAAUACCUCUUUAUCUUUCUCAUUAAUGAGAUUAGGAUAACUCUAUAUUGAAUCAUUUAAGUUUUUACUUCUGUUAUUUUUUUUCUCCCUUGGUUAUUUUUUACUGGGUUCAGUGGAAGUCAUUGGGUAUUUUAUGUAUUCUUAUUAUUCAAAGUAUUGAAUCCCAGGUUGUCACUUUAAUCUUAGUCUUGUGACUGAAAUGGAAUCUGUGAUGGACCACUCAGAUCCUUGUUCAGAGCCAGAGGGCUUAUUGCCUAAUUCAUGGAAAGUGAUACUUGCAGGCAGCCCAAUAAUCAUCCCUCAUUAGAAACUUCCUUGAGUGGAGUCAUUUGUAUCUCACCCAAAUUCGUACACCCUUCCCAGGGCAGCUUGCUUCCAGUCACUGGUCAAUGCAGGAGUCUCAGCCUCUCUCCUGCUUCAGAGAAGCCUUCACUGAUAAUGCAUCACUGCACUACUUGUCUCUCUAACCCAGUUCUGUUUUCUUCCCUUCCCUUCCUAUCACAGAUAUUGGCCUCAAGAACACUUUGUAAUAAACCUGCUCACUAAUCUCUUUUGUGGUCUGGUUCCUAGGGACACAACCUGUGUGAGUGACAAUCACUAAUAGAUAUUCUUACUUAUGUUGCCCAAUUUUCAUAUUAGUCAAAAAUCAAAUUGUAUGCUUUUCUCUUGUGAUUUGAGCUUUUACAUCUUGUUUUAGUAAACAUAAUUUAUGGUUAGUUUAGUUGUUUUAUUUUCAUACUCAGACCUUAUAUCCAUUUGGGAUUUUUUUGUUUUUGUUUAAUAAUUGUAUGUACUAGAGAUCCAAUUUUAUUUUUAAGUAGUAAAUCAAGUUUCUGGUUGCUUUCAAAAGUGUCUAUCAUUUCUCCAAAGUUAUGUACCAUGUCCUCUAUCAUAUACAAGUAAUCUGUUUAAAUCCUUAUUUUUCUAUUCCUUCAGUCAAUUAGUCUGUCCUGCACCUGUACCACACAGAUGGUUUUCAUCUGAUGUUGCAUUCUGUCUUAAUACCUAGUAGUAGGAGUUUCCCUUCUUUAUACUUUUUUGAAAAUUGCUUUAGAAAGUCAUGGAAAUUUAUCUUCCUUUAUAAAUUUUGAAGCUGUGGUGCAGUGGGUUAAUGAUCUGGCUUGUCUCUGUGGCAUUGCCGGUUUGAUUCCCCAGCCUGGCACAGUGGGUUAAGUAAAGAUUUGGCAUUGCCACAGCUGUGGCAGAUGUGACUCGGAUUCAGUCCCAGUCCUGGGAACUUCUAUAUGCUACGUAUGUGACUGAAAAAGGAAAUGAAAAGAAAAAGAAUAUUUGGAGAAAAAAAAGGUGAUCAUUUGUAGUUCAUGAAAGAUAUAAGACUUCAGUUUAAAAGGGCAUAUAAUGAACACAGUAGGAAAGAUAAGUGGGAAGAAACUUCCUCUUUUAGAUAAAGUUGUUUUUAAGGUUACUAAAAACAAAGGAAAAUUUAUGAUUUUCAGAAAGAAAGUAAAACUUGAAUAAAAUCAGAACUAAAAUCAAUACUUUUUAGCCCUUAUAAUAGCAACACUAAAUGUAAAAGAGUUUUCAAGGAAAAGGAUUUGAAUCUGACUCAGCUAAGUAUUCAGCUAAGCUAUUAUUUCCAUGUUAGAGCAAAGAUAAUAAGAUAUUAGUUAUCAGAGAGCCUAGCAACAUGAAGAAUCUCUUUAAAAGUUCUUAAGAGAUUUAACUUUUGAAAAGAAGGAAUUUUUUAAAAUUAUUUAUAUAUAUUACUACUGUACAGCAUGGUGACCCACUUACAUAUAAAUGUAUACAUUCUUUUUUCUCACAUUAAGUGUUCCAUCAUAAGUGACUAGACAGAGUUCCCAGGGCUAUACAGCAAGAUCCCAUUGCUCAUCCAUCCUGAAGGCUACAUUCUGCGUCUAUUUACCCCAAAAUCCCAGUCCUUCCCACUCCCUCCCCUUCCCCCUUGGCAACCACAAGUCUAUUCUCCAAGUCCAUUAUUUUCUUUGCUGUGGAAAGGUUCAUUUGUGCCCUAUAUUAGAUUCCAGAUAUAAGUGAUAUCAUAUGGUAUUUGUCUCUUUCUGACUUACUUCACUCAGGAUGGAAUUGAUUCUGAAAGCAAUAAAUUGUUAUGGGAGGGAAAAUACGCAAGUAUGUAAGAAUUUAAUCAUUUGUAUAAUCACAAAAUCAGAAACUAAAAUGUCAUAGAAUACUAAUGUAAGUUAUUUCAGGAAGAGAGGAAGGUGGGAGAGAGAGAGAGUAGUGUGCAUAAUAAUAAAAACAAAGCAAUAAAGAAAAAUAAUGGGAUAAAGAGAAUAGGAAGAAGAAAUUAAAAUGUCAUAAUAUAAGUAUCUUUAUAGACUGCCCAAGAUAAUUCCUAAAUAAAUUUUAAGGUUAAUGUGAAAACUCAGUCAAUUUAAAAGCUAAAUGAAUAACGUAAUGAAGACCCAUAUGACCACCGUCCCAGAAAUAAAGUGUUAUCAUUUUA
rnacentral:lncRNA from 9 species